rnacentral:misc_RNA from 1 species
UCUCCGUAGGUGAACCUGCGGAGGGAUCAUUACAAAUUUCAUGCCCUACCGGGUAGAUCUCCCACCCUAUGUUAUUAUUACUUUGUUGCUUUGGCGGGCCGUUAGGCUCCGGCCCGACUACCGGCCCCGGCUGGUAAGCGCCCGCCAGAGGACCCAAAACCCUGAAUAUUAGUAUCGUCUGAGUACUAUAUAAUAGUUAAAACUUUCAACAACGGAUCUCUUGGUUCUG